AUUGAACGCUGGCGGCAGGCUUAACACAUGCAAGUCGAGCGGAGUGGCGGACGGGCGGGUAAUGCAUAGGAAUCUGCCCGGUAGUGGUGGAUAACGUCCGGAAACGGGCGCUAAUAUCGCAUACUAUCAGAUGAGCCUAGGUGGGAUUAGCUAUUUGGUGGGGUAAAGGCCUACCUAGGCGACGAUGCGGAACUGGUCUGAGAGGACGAUCAGUCACACUGGAACUGAGACACGGUCCAGACUCCUACGGGAGGCAGCAGUGGGGAAUGUUGGACAAUGGGCGAAAGCCUGAUCCAGCCAUGCCGCGUGUGUGAAGAAGGUCUUCGGAGUGUAAGGCACUUUAAGUUGGGAGGCGUUACCAGCAGAAUAAGCACCGGCUAACUACGUGCCAGCAGCCGCGGUAAUAC
rnacentral:rRNA from 1 species